CAGGUAGCUCUGGGGUUCAGCUUGUUUCGAGUUGAGGAUUGCGUAUGAAACGAUUCCACGCUCUACCAAUUUCGGCUUCAAGUCUGCAAUUAUGCCUAAACGAAGGCUGCUCACUCUUCACUCCAAGAUAUGUGAGGAGCCAAGCAGGAUUUCCUCCUUGAGGCGUCACGUCCAGAUCCUUAAGAGAGAUUCCCUUGUAUCGUUAUCUCGUCUUGAGGGAAGUGACGUCACUAUCGAAGACGAUUCGGCCUUUCAGGACUCGGAGACUGAUGUGGCAGACAGAUUCUUCGGUAUAAUAUGUGAGUGAGAGAGAGAAAGUGAGAGAAAGAGUCCACACAGAUUGCAGGCGAGUGCCGGCAGGCCUUGAUAGUCAGUCUACGAAGUGAUCAAAACUGUCUAGGUACUCCAGACUGGCCAAGUAGCAGAACCUGUACUCCUCCUAAAACACAGAACUGGACGCUGUGUGCGGAGGUUGCGGACGGUCUGGAACAUGUCAACAACACCCUCGUACUGCAUGCGCUCCAGGACCUGGCUCAAGGUGAUAAACACACCAGUGCGUCCAACGCCAGCACUAAAGGAGGAAAAGUAACUUGUUAAGAUAUGUAGGUGGAAUUUAGAUUUUUGGUGAUUUUUUUUUUUAACUGAUUUUUAUUUUUUUUGUCUUUCAUUUUGUUUUUCUUCUUUUUUUGUUACAGC
rnacentral:lncRNA from 1 species